GAAGAAAUGCCAAGAAGAGGAGCCACACACCAAGAGAGGUUGACAUCUAGAACUUUAAGUCAUCAAUAUGAAGAAUUACAGCUAUGGGACUGGAGAGAUGGCUCAGGAGGACUCCUGAGAAGAUCAGAUGAGAUGAAUCAGUGAGAUCAAAUGGACAGAAUCUGGC